rnacentral:misc_RNA from 1 species
GAUGAAGAACGCAGUGAAAUGCGAUAAUUAAUGUGAGUUGCAGAAUUCAGUGAAUCAUCGAGUCUUUGAACGCACAUUGCGCCCCCUGGUAUUCCGGGGGGCAUGCCUGUCCGAGCGUCAUUGCUGCCCUCAAGCACGGCUUGUGUGUUGGGCUUCCGUCCCUGGCAACGGGGACGGGCCCAAAAGGCAGUGGCGGCACCAUGUCUGGUCCUCGAGCGUAUGGGGCUUUGUCACCCGCUCCCGUAGGUCCAGCUGGCAGCUAGCCUCGCAACCAAUCUUUUUAACCAGGUUGACCUCGGAUCAGGUAGGGAUACCCGCUGAACUUAAGCAUAUCAAUAAGCGGAGGA